CUGCUUUAAGUUAUUUGCCAUUGAAUAGACUUUUCAAAUAAAGUCAAUUCGGUAACUUGUGAGUAUCUCAACAAACAUCAUAACUAUAAUUUCUAAAUGCAGUCUUUUUUUCAAUCUGAAUUCCAGGUGACACACAAUCAGGCUCCUGCUGUGGCAGUGGACACGGAGACGCCUUUAGACUGGACUACCUCUGAUGGAUGUGACCCAAAUAGAGCUACAGUCAGGUGACCAACAAUCAGGCUGGUGCUGUCGCAGUGGACAACUCUUCAGAUAUGACUUCCCUUGGUGAAUGUCUCUCAAAUGCAGCUACAGACCAGGUGGUCAACAAUCAGGCUCCUGCUGUCGCAGUGGACAACUCUUCAGAUAUGACUUCUUGGCGAAUGUCUCUCAAAUGC